UACGGGGGGGGCAAGCGUUGUUCGGAAUUACUGGGCGUAAAGGGCUCGUAGGUGGCCAACUAAGUCAGACGUGAAAUCCCUCGGCUUAACCGGGGAACUGCGUCUGAUACUGGAUGGCUGGAGUAUGGGAGAGGGACGCGGAAUUCCAGGUGUAGCGGUGAAAUGCGUAGAUAUCUGGAGGAACACCGGUGGCGAAGGCGGCGUCCUGGACCAUUACUGACACUGAGGAGCGAAAGCCAGGGGAGCAAACGGG
rnacentral:rRNA from 1 species